AUUUGGUUUUUUGUUGGUUUUUUUUCUGUUUGGUUGGUUUUUUUAAGAAAGAAAUGUAUCUGUGAGUUUAAAACACAGAAUUUUGGCUCUUUUACAGCCACAUAAAGGUGGGACCCUGCAAACAUGUUCAGUUUCCAUCUAGGAAAUGUAGUAUACUCUCUAUUCACAUUCAAUUUACUGCUUUUUCAUGAAAGGUUUCUGGAUUUCAGAGCCUGGUGGUGGGGUGACAUUGAAUACAAGAUUGUGUAGCACUUUAUAGAACUUUUCUUUUAUUAGCAGCUCUAUAAUCAUAUUAAGUUAGACUGAAAAUUUGAACUAAUUCUUUCCCUUGAGGCCCAAGCUCUAAUAAUGGUAAAAAUCUGUGAAAUAAGAUGAAUACAAUUCAAUAAUUAUAUUGAUAAAUAAAAUGAAAAUCAACUAAUUGUGUCAUUCAGCCAGUUGCCUGCCUCUGUUGUUGCUGCCUUUCUGCAUCAGUGAUUGCUAAACUUUUUCUGUCACACUUCAAUAAAUUUAAUUGUGCAGAAUAAAUGAGCUAAUUUUUGAAGUCACAGGCUCUGUUUGCAAGAUAAGGAUGAUGAUUUAUUGACCUCUUUCUGACUCCAUAAGAAUGUCACUCUCCUUUUUACUGACAACCAUAAGAAGGGGUUUUGUCCCUCUUCACCCAGCAUCUUGCUAAAUCCUACUUUGUAUAUUUACCUUCCCAUCUCGUUUUCUUCAAGUCACAUAAUACACCACAAUAGACCAGAGAUCCCUGCUUCAGUUAGUGGCUAUACAGACUGUUACAAAUGAUUACCAGAACUUAAGGCUAUUUUCUUCUAAUGAUAAUUUCAUUCUCUGGAUUUUGGAAGAGUAGGGGCUAACAGGAAGUAUAAGAAAAAGGGCAUAGAUAAAUACCUGGUUUUUUUUCUGGAAGCUAUGUUCUAAUCUCAGUCAUAAUUCUGUGAGUUCUUCCACCCUACCAGGAUGGACACUCACUCCAGUGCUCAUUCACAAUGGUUGUUUGACUGUGAACACAGGAAAAAGGCUGAUACUAGGCAUUGGGCACGCUUCAUGAAAAAUUGUCUGCUUUUUAAACUUUUGUUUCUGUUUCUUGGGCUUUGUGUUUAGAUACUGAGGAGAAGAUGAUACUAUCUUGACUGUUGUUACUGUUGCAAUUUUGACAGCAGGGGGGUUGUUAAACAGACAUAAAAAGGUAGGAGUGAAUAGGCCGCACCCAUUCUUUCCCACCUCUUUGAUUUUCUUUGUGAGUUAGAAGGCUUUUCGGAAAAACAUUUGUAUGACAGCCACAAGACUACCCUUUAUCAUAAGGCUGGAUAUUUUGUUCAGUUCUUUAAAUUAAAACCACGAAAUAACCUAUAUGCACAUGAAAAGGAGUGAUUAGAUACUGUGGUACAGUUACAAUACAACUCUAUCUCUGUUACAACAGACAAAUCAAUUGUCAUGCUGUAGCAAUAUGAUCCUUGAAUCAAAAAUCUUGGUAAUCUUUUGAGUCACUAAAUCUCUUUAGAGAAAAAUAAGACCAGCAGCAACGCAUCAACUAUGUCAAAAAAAAUGCUCUCGAAGUUCUGACUCCCUGUCUCUGUCAAAUAAACCCAAUAAAUGAGAAGGAUGGAGGGAUGGAGACACCUUCUUCAUAUUAUUAAAUGACUGCCUACUGAGGUGCAUUGGGCUACGCAAACCAAACAGUAUUCCAUCUCAGUGAUUACUAUGUUUGUUCUUCACAGUGUGAUUGAAUCAGCUACUCUUUGACUAGCAUCAGUUAGGCAACACAGCAGGUCAAAUACAUAGGGAAGCUAGCUAGACAUUGACAAACCUGGCCUCCUGGAAGUGAACAGCAGAAGACUUUUUAUGAAGCCCGGAUUUCAGCCAAGCACCUUGAACACAAACUGUGAGAAACCUUUUUCUCAUGUUUUAGUUGUUAUAUUGGACCUCCUUUUACUGUAAUUUUCUUCUAAAGAAGACUUAUAACCUCCUAAAUAUUUCCUGUCAGGUGUUGGCUAGGUGAAAUGCAUCCUAGGGAAUUGCAGCUGGAGGAAUCACAACAUCCCACAUACAGAGCAGUCCAAAUUUCUGCCAAAUUCUUCACUGUGUCUUUAACUCAAACUACUUGUGCUCUUUGUGAUUGAUGCUUGUAGCAAAAGGCAGACCUAACCCAGGAAAAUCUUCUGCAUCGUAGCACUGCAUUCCUUCAAACAAAACCUUAUGCCUGAUUUAACAGCCUGCCUGGGAGCUCUACACAAACCUAAUACAGACAGCCUUUGCCAGUUUUUGCUUUUUUUGGUGGUAGUUGCUGUUCCUGCCCGUUUUCACUGUGUAGUUGGUGUUUGUUCCCUGGUUGCUGUGGGUCGCUUAAUUUACACUAUCUCGGGAACCUGUCAAACUGCACUGGAGUGAUUACAUUGAUUUUGGGGGAGUCUUGAAAGUAAAUUAAACCUGAACAAAACUUACUCUUUAGCAAAGAAAGCUUUGCCAAUUUUAAGAGGAUAAAAUUCCACCAGCAUGUAAUGUUUUAUUGGGCUGUAGUGAAAUACUUUGGAGAAAGAUUUCCAGUUCAUAAAACAAUUCCAAAACAUUGAUUGACCUUCUGUUUUGUGGGCCAUUAUAAUUUUUUCUUUGUAAACCAAGUUCCAAUUGUCCUGCAGAUUUCUUUCACCAAGAACAAGAAGAUAAAGUUUUUACUGAACCUUGGACAUUGUGGGAGGUACAGGAGAUUUCUGAAAAUGCUAAGUCUGAUUCAGAUCAACAUUCCUAAAGCCAUGGCUUCCACUGAAGGAGGUCUCUUCCUCAGAAAGGAAGAGGAAAGCCAGUAGUCUCACAAUAAAAGUAAUGCUAAUUUUGCAGUUCAGAUUUUUUUUUCUGCUGUGACCUUUGCCAGAUUUUAAAUUGUAAGUAGAGGAAUAGAACAUGUUUUCUAGUUAAUCUGAAUUGAACAUAUUCAUCAUGCUUCGUAAAUUGUAACAGAGAGCUGCCUUUCUUUAUCCUUUUCUGUUUGUUUUCUGAUUGUGUGGAUAUGACUGAGUGUUGCUGGUCUGCUCUGGAAAUGAUUUGGCAAAAUGCCACCUGCUUGUCACUCUAAAUCUGAUUUACAGAGUAGCUGAAGGGUACAAGCUUUGGUGAAGUAAUUUGCCCAUAGAUGAAAGCAAAGUUAGGCAAAUAAGGGCCCUUCAUGAAAGAAAGCCUAUCUUCCUUGUUGCUGAAUGUAGAAGCUGAACUUCCCAGGUGUGGAGAUAAACCAGAACUAAGUACAGAGAUAAGACUUCAUACUGCCUGGCUCAGUGUUGGUAUCUUUUUAAAAUACCAGGCAUUCGAUUCAUUCUGCGGAAGACAUGGAAACCAGCCCCAUUGUUCAGGCAAUGCAUGGCUAAGGUUAUAUUUAAGAUGUUUCUGUAUUCUUUGAUGUUUGAAAACUAAGCUGGCAAUAACAAUACCAUCCAGCUAUGUAAAAAUGGGGAGCUUGAGGAUCUAUCCAAGCCCAAGUGAAAACAAAUAGAAAACAGUGUUUGGAGACAGGAGAGACAGGAACCAUUCGCUGUCCAUGACUCACUUGGGUCCCUAUGUUGCCAGGCCUCUUCCAGUCUCCAGGACAGACCUAAUAUGAUUAGAUCACAGCAUCCCCUAUUUCACAAAAUAUGCUUACUGCAAGGCACUUGUUUCCAGUUAGGAUUUUUUUUAAUAUGUUGUGGUUUUGAGACUGACUUGGAAUAUUUUAUAUAACAUCAGCCACUGUGCAGAUUUGUGUAUUGUACUGUAAUUACUUAAAUAGGGGAUUUUGUAUGCUACAGCCAGUGAUUCAUGAACUGCAGGGUAUCUGCAAAAACAGGCUUUCAUUGGGAUUAUGGGAUGUAAAAUGCUUGAAGGUUUUUGCCUUUGAUAGCAGACCUGCCAUUGCAUCCACACAGGGUUUGUCUUAUAAAUUGUAUUAGUGCUGAUAACUUCCCUCCCCCAGUUCCUUACUAUUCUGAAGUGUUUUGAAAGAAAACUUGUUCUAUGUGAAUGAUUGCUGUGGCAAUCAUUAAAGCAUAUGUUCAGCAUGCUUGUUGUUGACCAUGAAGUGUAACAGAAAAGUUGAAAAGGUCCUUCAGAGAGGACUUAAUAUUGUGAAAUUUGCAAUAACGUGAUUUCUAACUAGAAAUAAGGGAACUGUGGAGAGUGUGGGGAAAAGAGCAUAGUCAGAUGUUCUCAAUGUCUUCAAGGGGGUCACUUAUCUUCCAUUGGUUUAUGGUUAUGUAGCUAAGUCUCCUACCCGCUUUUGGAAAUAGUCUCAGCCACUGGAGAAAAUGGAGCUACUGAUUGAUUUAAGGCAUUGUCUAACUUGGCAUAUCAAAUUAUUUCAAGCCCACAAGAAGGAGGAGGACAUGCUGAUGACAGCAUGUUCGUGCCUGCAUAUUCAACCAAUGUGUUAGACUAGGAAUCUGUGCCAGACACAGGUAAGUCCAAAGAUUUUUCCUUUUGUGACAUCCAGCAGGAGCGAGGCAAGGGGAAUCAUAAAUAUUAUGAUAAUGGUUUGCUGCCUGAUAAAAAAACCCCUAAUUUGUCCAGGGGAUAGAAGGUUUCUGGUGAAAUUUCCUUGCUGACUUUUCUGUCAGCCCAUUUCUAAAUGUCUUCAUGUUUCAUGUCAUAAAGACAGAAACAGAGUUGUUUUGUAGUUAUUCGUGAGUUUUAAUUAUAGCAGGCACAGAAUUUCAGACAUGUCGAUGCUUGUUUUUAUAUUGGGACCCAAAUGGUUGCAUUUUCUUUCCAGGGGAUGUGAAAGAUCAUUUUCUUAGUCAUAUUUCUCUCAGAUCCAGAGCUGUGCAGACAAAAACAAAACAAAAAAACCUCCCUUACUGCUAUUAAAUCCCUUCCUUCUGAAGUCAUCACAGCUCAGGUAAGGCAGUUCAGUAGAGAGCAAAUGCAAGUUAGGGUAUGUAAAAUUACAGUGCAUAUUUGGUGCCCACAAGAUUCUUUACUGACUUUUAUUGCCAUGUAUAAGGGUUACAUCAGACAUUAGCAGCAAGAAAAUCCAGGGCCUCCUGAUAUCCACCCUUAUUCACAUUUGACUGUGCCUGUUUCUGGCUGCCUAGCAUGCAGCAGGUUGCUUGCUGUUUUAAAAACUCACUAAAAAUAGGAGGUGUACCAAGCAGUGAAUGUAUACAUAUACUGUAUAUAUACUGCUUAUAUACAGACAGAGCUAUAUGUCCUUGACAGAAGUCCUCUGUUCAGCAGAGGUUCUUUGGAUUAGGUGCUUUCUAAGGGUUUGGUUUUCGUUUUAAAGCCCUGUGUGCUUCCACUCUCAUCAUUCUCAGCUCUAUUUUACAGCACUUGGCCAUGUAAAGCAAUGCUCCCAAACAGGGCAUUGGAGGACUCUCAGCCCAGCAAAGCAGCAGGUAGAGCAGAGCUCAUUACCACUGUUUUCCAUAUGUUCCUCUCUAUGGGGGCCUGACUGGACCUCGACCUGAGGAAGAUGCAGAAUGGAAACUUAAUGGAGAAGCGAGUCUUGCCCCCAGAUAUAUGAAGCAGCCAAACUCUUUUGUUCUCAUUCUCUCUGUUCUGGGUGGCAGAGUGUGUGUGCAUGCGUGUGUGUGUGUAUCAGUGGCAGCACAUUCCUUCCUUGCUCUGCUAGUCCCAAAAACACAUCUAUUGCUCAGCAUUAAUCUACACCCCUUCCAAAGAACCAUCUCCUAUUUUGUCUUCCCUCCCCCCCCCCUUUAAGUUAGUUCACAUUGAUUAAUCAUUUUAAAAAUGUUUAGGGCUGGGAUUGUGAAACCUUUGCUGGCAAAAAUUUUUCCCCUGGAGUCAAGGAGACUACUCAUUAGCAUGACUACUUGCCAGCAUGAGGGAGGGAUUCACAAUCUGGACAUUUGUAGUUUUAAAAAUAUGUCUCUAUUUAGCUGAUUUGAGCAGCUGAACAUGGCUAGUUAUGGAAAUCAGGCUGUCACAUUCGGGUGUUUUACUUCAGAGUGCAUCUUUGCUGAAGUAAGGUACUUUUACAUAACACACACAGAUAUUUAAACAGUAGUUUAGUUAUAUGAUUGGUGUCUUCAGUCUUAUUUACAAGCAUUGUGUGAUACCCAGCAUAAACAAAAUGCUUUGUUGAUAAAUCUCAUCUCUAUACCCCCUUAGUUUACACACAGUACAAAAAUGUAUGUGGGUCAGUAUUGACAGGAAAGCCAUUAUGGGUCACUUAUGCCAAUCUCUUGGAUGCAGGUAGUGCUUGCAGGACACCUGGUUUUGAGCCCAGUGGGUGGAGGGAGAAGGUGAGGAGCUGGGUACUGUUGUGUCUGUAGGACAUGAAGAUGGCAUAGCUGUACCUCUUGUCCCUGCUUGCAAGAAACAAAACUCUGAGGAAAGAAAUCUGGCUCUGUGACAGAAAACCCUGUGCUUUAUAUUACAAUGUUUCCCUACUGUGAGUCAGUCACUCCCCCUUUUUUUUCUGAGGACAAGUGAAACAAUCCUGCCUCUGCUCUGCAUGGCUAACAGCAGCAGUGACCUUCAGGCUUGCCACUUAAAAGUGGUGUGGGAUCAUCCCACUGAAAUUUAAAAACACCCUUAUCUUUCCCUUUCUCUCCUGCUUCUCCACCCCACUCUGCUCCGUUGCUCCUCUGUGUGCAGCACAGCCAUCAAGUCUCAGUGCUGGGCUGCGGGAACUCAGGAGUUCCCUCUUCUUUCUGCCUCUCCCUCCACCUUGCACAAAGCUAACAGGGGGAUUUUUCACCUCCUCACUUUCCUGUUUCCUCUUUGAUUAACUUUGGACCAGAUGGCUGGUCCCCAAUCUCUCAGCAUGCAUUUGACUGACAGGAGCCUUUGAUAAACCUCAUAAGAAUGAAGUCAUCUUCAGGUCACCUCCUCUGCCUGGCCUUUAGCAUCCCGCACAUACCACCAUUAUCUGCUGAAUAGGAGACAAAGGAAAUUAGCUCCAAUUCCCUAUCAUCCCUAUUAUUUUCACACUGAUUUAAACAAUGAGGCAAUGAGAUGCCCUUCACUUUCCUUGGAAAGGUACAAAUGUCAGCUGUUAAGAAAUGCAAACAAGAGGUUUCCCAUGUUAAUGGAUGGGCUUCUUUGUAAAGCUGUGAAGUGGUAAAGUGGAUUUAUUCACAAUCUGCCUGGAAAAUGCUUAACACACUCCUAAACAAAUUCUUUAACGACUUUUAUUUUAUACACAAUGUAGAAUGCUUGAGAAGUCUCAUUGUUUUGGUCUGGAUAUAUAAAAUGAGGUGAUAUACCGUUCUGUUGUUUUUUCCAUAUGCAGUUAUCAGAGCUGCAUUUGAGACAGUCCUGAACUGAAAUCUUGGAAUAUGAAUUCCUUGAUAUACAAAAAGGCUGUAUAUGAACCUGAGUACUGAGAUGCAGAAAACUACCUUCAGUUUCAAGUGAGAAAAGAAAUUUGGAUACUCUGGACAGAGGGGAAAAAAACCAACAUGAAUCAGAAUUGCAUCUCUCCAGAGAUUUCUGUCAGCAUCUUGCCUCCAAAACAGUGGUCUCUACAGAGUCAUCUCCUGACGUACAGUUGAAAAGCACCACACAAGAACGUAUCUAUAUACUCCACAGAGCAGAGAUCAUGCUGAGAGCUGGAAACUGUAAGCUGUAUUCCUCUUGCCUACUAUGAAACAUGGGAGCAAUGAUAGCACAUCAGGUCAAGAGACUGGCGAGCAGUUCUGUCCACCUCGCCAAGUUGCUAGACUUUGGCCUCCUGUGAAGUCAGUGGAAUGAAAAAUCAUCUUGGUACCCAAGUGUUAUCACAAGUACCUUACUUCACCAGUGGCUGAGAGAAUUCAGAUGAUGGGUUGUCCAGGCUGAUUCACGCUUUUGGGAACCUCCAACUAGCCUUCACCAUGAACUCAGUGUCUAGAGAAAGGUUGCAGAACUGGAGCAUAAGCGGACAUCUACCUUUUAAAUAAAGACCCUCUCCAUAUGAAUUCAAACAUACUCUUGCUGCUGACAAAGGAUGUUAAUAUUGAAGUCAGGUAACACCUUUAUUUUUUUUCUUUGGGACAGUCUUUUUUUACAACUUCCCUUACUAGUAUAAGAAGAUCCAUACUGUGGCACUACAGUAAAAGAUUCCCAUCCUAAACUGGGUAUAUAAACUCAACAGAAGUCGACUAGUUGAGAGAGGGCUUGAGAAAAGGGAGUUAAGCCUAAUUAAAGUAUUAAUUCUUCAAUCAUUCCUGCAAAAAUCAAAAUAAAUGUUUGCUCUUUUGGUUUUCCCCAUCUAAAAAGCUUCCAGUGUGGCCUGUACCAUUAAAGGAUUACAGCUCCUUUGCAAUUAUGCUGUGUUCCUCUUUCCUCUCAAUUCUGUCUUAGGGUGUUGAAUCUUAAAUCACCAAGAUUUUGUUGGUGUGACAAUAAAAGAAUGAUCUUCUGACAGCUCUUGAGAACCUGCAGUUCAUGUUGCUUUUUGAAGUACUUGAAUAGCUAACAUGAAAGGCCAGAUGCUUGAUUCCAUUUGUCAAAUCUCCCCUUCUGUAUAUUGUGGUGUUUCAAUCUUGACCAUGACUGUCACCAAGUUGCUUUUUUGCUUACUCCUUGACAGUCAACCGCCAGCCAGUCAACUGAUUGAAGAUGGGCCCUAGGCUUAUCUAACCAGAACAUGGCACAGAAACAGAUGGCUUCUGCUCCUGAUCAGCAGCCUGGGUAGUAUUUUUAAGACUUCUAAAGGCACUUUUGCACUGGUAAGGGUGGGAAGCUCUUCGCAUUUCCAUACAUUCUGCUGCACACUUUCUGAUCGAAAUCUGGAGGAGGAAUUGAACUUCUGGCAGCAGUUAUGAACUUGGCAGCCAGUCAGUUUCUUUUAAGGACCCUGCUGUGUCAGGGUACAGAUCAAGGUGCAAAAACAACCCUCUGAAAAGUUUAUUUUCCUUAGAUAGAGAAGACUGAGUUGUAUGGAGCCAACCUAUGGCGGGGAUUGAAAACGGCCUGCAGUACUAAGUAUGUUUUUUUUGAGCACCAUUCUCGCCCUAAUUUGUUUUUCACAUACAGCCUGUCUCUGCUUGAGGUGUUUGACUGUCCAUGUCUUCAGAUGAAUGGACACAUCAAAAAGAUGGACCGAUAUACUGGCAUCAACACAGUUUUACUUUGGUCACUUUACUUUACAAAUCAAUCUGAAGAAGCGAGAACAUAGCAAAACCUCUAAUCUCAAGGUUUUGACUUUCUGGGGUUUUUAAGCAGAAAUAUUAGCUAUCUGCAAUUCAAAGAGAGGGGCUGAGGGUGGGGGGCUUACGCUUCCCAUUUUGUUUUUAAGAAGGUCACAGUGAAAGCUUGUGAUUGAAUAUUUUGCAUGGAACUGCCUAUGACAAAGACAAAGAUGAGGGGUUUGUCAGAGUGCUGUGAAAAGAGAGAGAGGGAAAGAUCUUUGUUAGAUUUUUAAGGUAUAUUUGAAAGAAUGAAAUAAAAAAAUGCUUUCAAAUCCUCAGGGACUUUCCAAUUUAUCAAGAAAGACACAUUCUUCCUAAUGAAAGGUUACUGACCUUCAUGAAUGUGACAGUUCAAUUACAGCCCAUUCAUAUGCAGAGCAGUGGUUGAUAAAGGAUUUACGAAAUGUGACUAGCAUAGCAAAAAAAAAAAAAGAGGGGAGGAAAUGUCUAGAAAAUUAUUUUUUAUUGUGGAGCAAGAAAUAUAAAUAAGAUUCAGUCAGGUAGUAGAACCUUUUCUUCUCUGGCCCAGCAACCCAUUAGAUUUGCUUCAGUGAAUACAUUGACUUUUUCCUCUUCUUUUUCUACUAAUAUUUCUGUCUUUUUAAUCCUCUGAACUACUAAACCUAACAAAUCAUAAAGCCCUUGGGGUGCUGAGAUGCAGGGUUUCAAACAUUUUUUCCCUCUGACUGGCAGAGAAAGCUGGAAUGUGUCCUAAUGUUUUUUUAAGUGCUUGACUAGCAUUUAAACUCUUAAAUGGAUGGAAAGUUAAAGCAGCAGCAAAUGCACAUGCACAUACACGUACCCCCCCCUUCCUUUUCCUUCCACCUUCUCCUCCCCCUGCUUCCCCCCCACACACCGAGCUUGGCCUCUCCAGGGCUGUUAAUAGCCAAAGCAGAUAUUGGCUAGACUCUCUGGAGCCAGCCUUCAGCCAAUGGAGGGUGACACCUGUGAGCUGAUGUUUGUUGAACUCCUCCAGGUGUAGGAAAGAUGCUUAAAUUGACAUAAGGCAGGAGCUGUGAAAACAGGCGUGUCACCCAUACAUACAGCUCCCUGGAAGGUCCCAAGGCCAAGUUGUUGCAAAACAACUAGAAAGAAAGGAAGAAAGAAAAAUUUUUCACUUGCUUUGAAAUAAUUCCAGAUUAUCUGUUUAUCUAUCUGCACGUGCACACACUCAUGGAUCUAGGCAGAUGUGCACUGUGUUCGCGUGAAGUAUGCAUAGAAAAUAACAUGAGGCAUACGACCCUACGUAGUACAAACCCUUCUUGUGUUUUAAGGCGAUAGCAGGCUGAGCCGUUAUGGAGUUAGAUGAGGACAAUCCUUUGCUUAGUGUUAACUCUCACAGGUGGUCCCAGAUGGAACUGCUGUAGUGGAAGUUUGAGUGUUCACUUAUAUUUACGUUAGGUCAGGGUUCUAUGGAAGGCAUUGUCUUCCUGGGAGCAGCAAACAGCUUCUCGAGUUUAACCAAGUGCUCGAAUUCAAGUGCAAUCAGGUGGAUGUGAAGAAGUGCUAAACCUGCCUGAGGAAGUCAGAGCCAAAAGAUGCUUCCUUGACCUUCACUCAGUAUCUGUGAAAUGGCAUGUGUGUUUCUGAGAAAUGAGAAACUUGGUUAAUUGGCACUAGCACUGCCCAGGUGUAGGGCUGAGAUUUUCUCCACUGCUCAGGUAGGAAAGAGCUGCACGGUUGGACACUGUGAGAUCUUCAUUCUUCCUAGUGGAGCAACUGCAGGGAGAAGAAGCCACUGAAGAAUAUUUUCUAUUUCUGUUAUGACUGAUUAUGGUUUCUGGGAAACCAAAACCCUUUUCACUACUUCAAGCUGCUGCACUAGCUAUCUGUUCUCCCUGCCUCAUUGCCUUCUCUGGGUAAAUUUCAAGCCCUAUCCCUAGUGGAUAUCUUGAGCACUUUGCUUACUGGGUGCUGUUUGGAGGUCCUGUGGUUUUUCAUCAGCAAUCAUUCAUUGAUACCAACUGCUUUGUGGUCUCUCAGCCUCUGUUGGCUCAUUCAGGUUCAGGUGAUCAUUGUAGAGGAAAGAACACUUGUCCUUAGUCUAAUUUAGAUCAAGGGCUGGCAUGGAACUGGCUUUUGCAGCACUGAAUAAUAAUGUUUCAUAGCAAUGUAUACAAAUAAAAUAAUCAAUCUGUCUUUAUUGGUUCUUUCAGAUGACUUUGGAACGCGUAAUUGUAAGAUAUUGAAUUAUGGAAAUCAUGAUAGUAAUUACGGGGAUCACUUUGGAAUGCUCAUAUUCUUACUUCUCUUUUGAGCAAAAGUUUAUCUGAUCUUUUUUAAGGGCUUUUUAAAGUAUAAUACUUUUUUCUCCCUUUUGUUUGGUACCUUCCUGAGACUUUCAAGAAGAUGUUAGGAGGCCCCAAGAGGAAUGAAUCCAAUAGAUUUCCACAGGAUCUGUUUCCAAGAAAUCUAUUGAUGCAGUGCAUUGGUCAUCUUGGUCAUCCUGAAUUUUUUUGUGUGCUUCUUGCUUUUUCUGCAGCCCAGACUGCACCAGAAGCUCUGGGCAAGUUCUGACAAAGAAACGACCAUCUCCCCUGCCAUAUGCAGCUUUUAGCUGUCUCAUAUGGUGGCAAGAUUAGAAUCAAGGCCCUUCAAGCACUGGAGAGGAGUUUCCUAGUAGUAUGCUCACCACUUGCUUUUAAUGUUGAAAAGAAAAACAAGAUAAAGGGAUGUAAUUUUUAAGUCCAGAAAACUUGUUUGGAGUCUGUCUGUGCUGUUAGAUUCAUUGUAGGUAGGGUCCCCAUCCAGCAGAAGAGAUAAACACUGAAGUUGGAAUAUUAUUUUGUCUGAACUGAGGACUGAAACAGCUAAAUGUACACAUGGAGAAAGUACAAGAACUAAUCCAUGCAUAUUCUAUGAAAUUCCCUAUGUCAUUCCUCAAAUAUGUUUUCUACAACUUGCUGUAGUCUAUUUGGACUAUGAUAUGAUAUAAAGGGUUUACCAGGAUUUAUCUGGGCUAACCUUUGUACAGUGUUUUGUCUUUGCCUGUUGUACAUAAUGCAUGCCAUCUAGGGGUUUUUUUGCCUGUAAGAUCCACAAAACAAGACGGUAAAAUAUUUGUCACAGAAAGACUUAUUUUUCACCAGUAGUGAAAUGUAUUUGAUUUAUUUACAAUGGCCAGUGGUCAAUUUGAUAAACUCUGAUUUUUAGAUACCUCAAUUUUCACAACAGAUUUUAUUAUUCAAAGUCAAUUAAAAGCCGCCUGUACUGAAUGCAAAAUAAUAAUUGUCAGUAGCAGCAUCAUGAGAACCUUUCUGACGACAUUUGCUUUGCAGAAAAAUAAAGACUUUGUUUUCUGCUUACACUUAAUUGGCAAGGUUCCUUUAAAGUUUACUCUUGGCCCUGAGACUUGGGAGUGCAGUCAGGCAUGUGGCUGAGAGCAGUCCUAAUAGGCAGGCUGCAUAACCUCACCAGCUAAAGCUCACAGGCUAUGAGGAGGUUGUUCACCAGGGGAAAAACACAGUCUGCUGCCGCUCAAGCUAGCAUGAACUUUACAUACUGCAUGCCUUGCAGAUUGAUUAAAAACGUAGUCAUCCUUAAAGGCAAACCACCUAAGGACUUAAAGUAAGUCACAAAUACAAAGAUGGUUUUAUGUAGUAUACUUUUAUAUGACGGACUCUUUUGGGAUGAAGACUUUGUUUGCAGUCAGUGCAAGUUGGUUGGUGACUCCUGUUAGCUUGCUGGUUGAGGCAGGUUCUCCUGAAUCAGUUCACAUGGAAACAAAACGGCACCUGAGCAAACAUUGGAAGGUGGGGGAAGAAUUGCUUUCAGUUCACAGCCACAAAAGUUAGAGUGACUUAUGCAUGUUCCAAUAGGGAAAACUUUCUCUCGUGGCCAAUUUUUUGAUAAGAUAUGGCAGGAAUUAAUUUUAAUGGGGCUAGUAAACAUGAAUUAUUGUAUGGCUGGCCUCCUUCUAGCUUGAUUUAGAGGUGUAUCUGGAGGAAAAAUAUCAAUCAGACUUUGUCUCUCAUUUGCUCUGAUGCCCUCAGUCAACUAGUAUGAGAUAGCACAGAGGAAAACAUUUGUAUAUACACCCUCUAGAUAACAAAAGCAAAGGGAUGUAUGCGGCAGUCGAUGUGCAUCUUGUAGUAAGCUUAAUGGUUUGUAGCUGCAGCUUCAACUCAGCUUGGAAAGCAUUAGGAACUGAAGAACAGGUCAGUGUGAAAUAGCACAUUGUGGCCAGCCCAGCAAAACAGCCUCUGAGGGAGUACUCAUACCAUUGCUAGUCACUGGAUCAAACUGGUGAUAGAUUUCCUUGUGUGAAGUAAGGAGGUGGGGAGUGGGGGAAGGUUCCUUUUCCAAGUAGGUGUGAUGCAAUACCACUGUGUCCUGGCAGUCCUCUUUUCACUUCAGCAGAAGACUUCAAUAUGGGUGUAAAUUCUUUCAGGUGCUGCUCAUUAAAACUG